UGGCAGAGGCAAGACCUUCUCCUGCUGAGUCAUUUGUUGCAGUUCUCUUUGGCAUUAUUCCUCUACGGAGAAUGUAUUUCCUCUUCCUAUCCAUCAACAUUGUUUUCUUGAUAAAUUCUGCAGCUAUUGUCGUUACAGUGUGCACUGUGCUAGGUGUUUUGGAUACGUUCAUGAACAAUCUUUCUCCUCUUGGAGCUUGGAACUGUAGCUGGUAGUAGAAGAUGUAUGAUGAGAAGAAAUACAUGCUAAUUAUAGAAAAAUUAGAAAAUACGCAAGGAAAGAAAUGAAGAAGAAAAUAAUCGAUUGGUCCCACCGAAUACUUGCCCAGAACAAUAAUGUGGAAUACUCCUGAUUGUUGUAGAGCUCACUUGUUUGCCUUAAUAAGAUUAUCUACUGCUCAUUGCCUCACCUAUGUUAUGUUAUUGAUAAACCCAUUGUAUUAUUAAAGGGCACACUUAUCACCUGUCAUUUUUAAAGACUUAAAUUUCUUAAACAAACUCAGAAGCCUAGAAAUAAAAUUGCUGCUUGUAUUGCAGACAUGCAGGAUUUGUAAAGCUAUUCAUUUGUUACUGGUUUGUAAUUUUCCUGGUAAUCUA